GAUGAACGCUGGCGGCGUGCUUAACACAUGCAAGUCGAACGAAGCACUUUAUUUGAUUUCCUUCGGGACUGAUUAUUUUGUGACUGAGUGGCGGACGGGUGAGUAACUCGUGGGUAACCUGCCUUGUACAGGGGGAUAACAGUUGGAAACGGCUGCUAAUACCGCAUAAGCGCACAGCAUCGCAUGAUGCAGUGUGAAAAACUCCGGUGGUAUAAGAUGGACCCGCGUUGGAUUAGCUAGUUGGUGAGGUAACGGCCCACCAAGGCGACGAUCCAUAGCCGACCUGAUAGGGUGACCGGCCACAUUGGGACUGAGACACGGCCCAAACUCCUACGGGAGGCAGCAGUGGGGAAUAUUGCACAAUGGGCGAAAGCCUGAUGCAGCGACGCCGCGUGAGCGAAGAAGUAUUUCGGUAUGUAAAGCUCUAUCAGCAGGGAAGAUAAUGACGUUACCUGACUAAGAAGCACCGGCUAAAUACGUG
rnacentral:rRNA from 1 species